rnacentral:rRNA from 1 species
CAGCAGCCGCGGUAAUACGUAGGGUGCAAGCGUUAAUCGGAAUUACUGGGCGUAAAGCGUGCGCAGGCGGUUUGUUAAGACAGAUGUGAAAUCCCCGGGCUCAACCUGGGAACUGCAUUUGUGACUGGCAAGCUAGAGUAUGGCAGAGGGGGAUGGAAUUCCGCGUGUAGCAGUGAAAUGCGUAGAUAUGCGGAGGAACACCGAUGGCGAAGGCAAUCCCCUGGGCCUGUACUGACGCUCAUGCACGAAAGCGUGGGGAGCAAACAGGAUUAGAUACCCCGGUAGUCCCUGUCUCUUAUAC